AUUCACCUGAAUCGAGUAUGACUACCUGCUGAACUUAAGCAUAUCAGUAAGCAGAGGAAAAGAAACUAACAAGGAUUUCCUUAGUAACGGCGAGUGAAA
rnacentral:rRNA from 1 species